UAGUUUGUAGUUUUGUUGAUAUGCUCUCCCUAUUUUGUACAAGUUGACCUGGAAUUCACUGUAUGCCCAGGCUGACCUCUGAUCGAUCCUCAGCCUCAGAAGUGAGUGUUGGGAUAACAAGCUUGUGUCACUAAGCCCAGUCUGAAUUGGAUUGUGCUGAAAUUUCAUUAGGGUUGUUCCACAUGUGUUCCCUUGCAUACAGACAGCAGUGAAAGAGAUGAGCCCAGGAGUCAUGACGUAUUGGGUCCAAAUUCUAGCCAACCACUUCCCAGUUGCAAGAUUCUGGGAAAAUAACUUCUAUACCUCUGGGUUUUCAUCGUAAAAGGGGAAUUGUUCCUUCCUUAGGGAGCUACGGUAAUAAAACGGAUUAGUCUAGAAUAAUGCUACAAGGCAGCGCCUAUCCCAUUGCAAACGCUCAACCGAACAUUUGUUUACUCGGUCAGCUUUCCGUCGCCGGGACGAAAAGAUGGGGAAUUUCUAACUAUUCUAAAUUUUCUUCUGGUCAUGCACCAGAUAAUCCCACAGACUGAGCUGGCCCCAAGUCCCCGGUGCACCGGGACUUGCCUUCCAGGCCUCUCCUCACUAGCACCUAGAGUACUAGUGCGCUCUCCGGCCCCGCUCAAGGCCCAGAAGGUGGUGGACCCUUGUUGGGGGCCACACAGGCCGCCAGACACCAGAGCCAGAGCCACUAGGUCGGCUUCCCCAGGGCCAGUCUCUCCGCAAGAAGCACGCUGCCGAACCCAAGGAUCGUAGCCCGCGCCGCCGCUCAGGGCGCCUGCCGCGGGGCACGCCGGGACUUGUAGUUCGUGGCUGCUUCCCACUCCUAGCUCUCUGCGGCGCGCGGACUCCAACCCCCAGGCACCUGCGAGGCCAGGCCAGCGAUUUUAGGGGUCCCGGGCGCCCCGAGGCCGCUGCCUAGACCAGACUCAGAUCAGGAUGUAGCUCUCAGGUACUGCUCCAGUGCCAUGAGUACCUCCAUGCUCCUGAAGUGUUCCAGCCAUGCCCCCACCGUGAUGAUAAUGGACUCACCCUCUGAAACUAUGUCCCCACAUUGCAGAACUUUCUGAACACUUGUGUUAGUGAUGAUCUGCCUCUUCUUGUCAGCUGUCACUCUUGUUAUGAAGAAGUGAAGACCCAAGCAUGGACCUGGAGGAACAAGGAGAAGGAAGUGAGCCCGGGGUGUGUCCUCUGAGGCAGAAAUGAGAAAAGCUGUCAAAUGGGGAAAGGCUAACAGAAGGCUGUAGAGAAGGAUCCUGAGAGGACUUUUCAGAAGACCUGGAUCCUGAAAUGCAAACAUCGACAGUCUCAUAAAUCCGGGCAUCCAGGAAGAUGCUCACAGCCUCUUCACAAGUGGCCAGAGCUAGGAUCAUACAUUGUACAGAAGACAAAACUGCCGUCUGAGCAUGCCUGUGUACUUCUCUUUCUUGGCUGUGCUAGGGAUGGAAUACAGGACUUUGCACAUGCUAGCCCAGAUGGGCUGAGUCAGCCUGUUGGGUGACCCAGGCCUGCCCUAGGGGAGGGAGGAAGCCACACAACUGAGUCCUUUGAGCCUCUCCCCUGGCCAGAGGGCAUCAGCAAUUGGAAAGGAGCCCAGCUUUAUGGACAAACAAUGGUGCCAGCCAGCUGCGGGUGAAGCAGGGCUGAACAGCCUGGCCUGAUUUGGCAGUUUCCUUCCGUGUGAAUGUGACUGACCUCUGUAACCACUGGACGAUUGCAGAAGUGAGAGCCUAACUCCAGAGAUCAAAAAAGCCACUGGACGUUCUACCUUGCUCUCUGGAACCACCGGCUAUGGGGGGCGGGGUGCGUCAGCUGUCAUGUACUGCAGACAGGCAGCCCAGUGGAGAGACCCACACAGCUGUGUGCUGCUAUGAUCCCACACAUUAAGUUAUAAAGAAGUUUAAUUGGUUUAAUUGGCUCAAAGUCCUCAAGGUCAGGGAGUCUGGGACUGAGAGCCCAGCCCUUCUGAAAGCAUCAUAACUCAGCAAAGGGAAUCAUGUGGCCCAGGAGCAUGUGCAAGGGCCUGAAGCAGGGGUGGGGUGCGGCUGGUCUUGCUCUUAGAGCAAACCCAGGCUUCUGAUUAUCAACCCACUCCCACAAUGUUGGUGUUUGGCCUUCCUGACCUAAUUAACCUCUUGACAAUUCACGGAACCUCUCAACAGUCUCAGAAAAGCAAGUGAACAUCAAUGUGAGUUUUAGAAGAGGCAGUCAGACCAUAAGCAAGUACGAAGACCCCUCCAACGGCCAACUGACUUGCCAGUCAUGCGCAUGAGUCCCUCAGAACUGGACCCCCACCCCUAAACCCACUCAGGGUUCUAGAUGCCACAGCCCUAGUUCACAUCUUCACUAGACCCUCAUGAGAAUUCCAGAAUCACAGAAAACAGGUAAGAUAACUGUCUUAUUGUUUUAAGCUGUCAAGUUUUGUAGUAAUUUUUCCUUCUUUUCUUUAUCUUUUUACAUUUAAAUUUUAUUAGGUUAUUAUCAUGUAUGUGUACAAAGUGUGCAUGUGAGUGUGGGCACAUGCAUGCCAUGGUGCACAUGUGAAGGUCAGAGGGCAACUUGCAAGAGUCCAUUCACUCCUUCCACCAGGACCUGCCCUGGGCUCUGCCUUCAUCUUUCCCAUGAGCCCAAGAGGGAUGUAAGACCGCACCACUAGUCCGGCUUCACAGAUGAAGAAACAGCCUGAAUGCAGCUGACUAGACCAGUUGACCUUGCGGGACCUGUCUCUUCUCCACCCAAGCCUGGAGCCUCCUCCCGGACUGAGCAGAAAGCUUCAUCGUUUGCAUAUUUCUCAUGGCACCCUGUGCCACCGGCGGAGAAGUCUGCGUGAAUCAGGAAGAGGGCAUCAGAUCCUUUGGAUUUGGAGUUGCAGGUGGCUGUGAUCUAUUUGAUAGGAGUGUUUGGAACUGAACAUGUGUCCUCUGGAAGAGCAGAAAGAGCUGCUUCUGACUGAACCAUCUUCCUAGCCACACCCCCACCAAGUCAGGCCAAGACUGGGGUAGUUCUGAGUCAAGGAAACUGAGAGCCAGAACCACACAGCGUGAAAGAAUGAGGAAAUGGCCUGGCUGUGAUUUGUUGCCUUGACCAACAUAGCUUCUUGGAGAACCACCAAGUACCUAUUUUAGAUCUGCUUGAAUCUUCACGACAUCCUGGGAGGUGGACUUGUAACCAUCCUGACAAGAAUGAAGACAUCAAAAGAGAUACUUGUACCCAUCAGCUAUCAAACUAUUGGGACAAGGGACAACAAUCUUCCCAGGCGUCUAAUUCUGGUGAAGGGAAAGGCCUUGGAGCCAGGCAGAGGAGAACUUGUCUCCCUAAAAGAUGUCACAAAGUUCUGACAACUCCUCAGGGUGCCAGAGAGACUGGAGCCCAGACAAUGGUCUCACCUUAACCGUGACUGCUUAGCUAUGCAUACAUACCCCUUGCCCUCUGUUUAAACCGAAGCCUCAUGUCAGGACCCUAAAGUUGGACUUGAGGAGUUCACCGGACCUCUUUGUUGCUCUUCUCAACGUGUUCAUAGUGCACCAAAUCUCUUUUUUCUGCU